UAGGGAAUUUUUCACAAUGAGCGAAAGCUUGAUGGAGCAAUGCCGCGUGAACGAUGAAGGUCUUUAAGAUUGUAAAGUCCUUUUAUUUGGGAAGAAUGACUUUAGCAGGUAAUGGCUAGAGUUUGACUGUACCAUUUUGAAUAAGUGACGACUAACUAUGUGCCAGCAGUCGCGGUAAUACAUAGGUCGCAAGCGUUAUCCGGAUUUAUUGGGCGUAAAGCAAGCGCAGGCGGAUUGAAAAGUCUGGUGUUAAAGGCAGCUGCUUAACAGUUGUAUGCAUUGGAAACUAUUAAUCUAGAGUGUGGUAGGGAGUUUUGGAAUUUCAUGUGGAGCGGUGAAAUGCGUAGAUAUAUGAAGGAACACCAGUGGCGAAGGCGAAAACUUAGGCCAUUACUGACGCUUAGGCUUGAAAGUGUGGGGAGCAAAUAGGAUUAGAUACCCUAGUAGUCCACACCGUAAACGAUAGAUACUAGCUGUCGGGGCGAUCCCCUCGGUAGUGAAGUUAACACAUUAAGUAUCUCGCCUGGGUAGUACAUUCGCAAGAAUG
rnacentral:rRNA from 1 species